rnacentral:rRNA from 1 species
AUUGAACGCUGGCGGCAGGCUUAACACAUGCAAGUCGAGCGGGGAAAGGUAGCUUGCUACCUGACCUAGCGGAGGACGGGUGAGUAAUGCUUAGGAACCUGCCUAUUAGUGGGGGACAACAUUCCGAAAGGAAUGCUAAUACCGCAUACGCCCUACGGGGGAAAGCAGGGGAUCUUCGGACCUUGCGCUAAUAGAUGAGCCUAAGUCAGAUUAGCUAGUUGGUGGGGUAAAGGCCUACCAAGUCGACGAUCUGUAGCGGGUCUGAGAGGAUGAUCCGCCACACUGGGACUGAGACACGGCCCAGACUCCUACGGGAGGCAGCAGUGGGGAAUAUUGGACAAUGGGCGAAAGCCUGAUCCAGCCAUGCCGCGUGUGUGAAGAAGGCCUUUUGGUUGUAAAGCACUUUAAGCGAGGAGGAGGCUACUUGGAUUAAUACUCUAGGAUAGUGGACGUUACUCGCAGAAUAAGCACCGGCUAACUCUGUGCCAGCCGCCGCGGUAACAC